rnacentral:lncRNA from 1 species
AUCACAGACAAAAUACAGUAGAAUUGAGAAAGAGUUCAAGAAAGGGUGGACAGCAUUUGUAGCAACUCUGUGAGAGAUAUCUGAAUAUUCAAGGACUUCUCAAGCUGGCAAACAAGCUGGAAGUGCUACAGAAGUCUGCAAAACCAGUAUACUUCCAUGCAUGAGCUUUUGUUGGUAACAUAAGCUUGCUGUGCAGAAGUGAUUUGCCAAUAGCAUUUCUGGAAAGGAAAGGAAAUGAAACUGUUGAAGAACGACAAGUUUGACUGUGCCAGGUCAGCAUGUGUGUUUAUGGCUGUGAAAGUUGGCAGAGUUAACGAAAUCAAAUAAUGAAACAAAAAAAAUGAAUGAGAUUAUUGUCAUGGUAUCGGGAUGCUUAUAUGCUUUAUUUACUUGGAAAAAAAUAAAUAAAUAAAAGGAGAUUCAAAAGGGAAUGUAUUGUCUUCAGUUGGGAUGGAUUAACUUUUCUUCAUAGUAGCCCAUAUGGAGCUAAAUUUUGGAUUUGUAAUGAAAAUAGUGUAUAUGGCAUACUAAUUUUCUUACUAUUGUCAAGCAGUGCUUCAAAAGCCAAGGUAAUUUCUCCUUAUGCUACUCUGCUACUGAAUAGGUUGGGGUGCACAAGAAUUUGGAAGGAAACAUAGCCAGAGCAGAUAAUUGAAAUUGGUCAAAGGGUUAUGGAAUCAUAAAAUAUUUUGAGUUGAAAGGGGACUUUAAAGGUCAUCUAGUCCAACUCCCCUGCAAAGAACAGAGACAUCUUCAGGAAGAUCGUAAUGGUCAAAGCCCUGCCCAGACUGGCCUUGAAUGUUUCCAGGGAAAAGCAUAUUCCACAUGAUAUGCUCAGGAACAGAACUUUGAGGAGUUUCUCAAAGACAGUCAUCACUCAGUGACUGGCUGCCACUGGUCUGCUGCUGCUGAGUGAUUACUUUUGUAUCAUUUGCUUUUUGUUGUUGUUCUGUACUUUUUCUUUUCUUUGUUUUCUUCUUUUUUUCUUUUCCCUCACUUUCCUUGUUAAACUGUUUUUUUGUUUGUUUGUUUGUUUGUUUUUGUCAUGGUUUUAUGAUUUUUGGUUAUCGGUAUUCCACAUCAUAACAUCAUGCAGUGUACUGGGAGUUAAAGAGCAAAUGCUCUAGUUCUGGGUACUUGUCCGGAAGAGAAGAACUACAUACCCCAGAAGACUGUUCGAAUACUGUUAUCAUUCCUGCUCAGGGGAACAGAUAUAAGGCCUGUAAGUCACCUGACCUGAGUCAUUUUUUUCUUCUCAUCUCGUCGUGCUCGCUUUUGGAUCCUCUCGCUGCUGCUCCUGACUGCACUCAAGGCUUCAGUAUUAGUGUAAGGCCUUUAGCUCUUGGACAAUUCUUCUCUCAAUUAUAUUUUAUUUUAUUAACAAUUAUAUUGAAUUAUGUUGUAUUAUAGUGUGUUAUUGUGCAUUCCGAUACUAUAUUUAGUAAAUUAGUUUGUUUCUCCUCAGAUUGUUGCCACUGUUUUUUUUAAUUAUUUUUUUUUUUAGGGUUCUCUCCCUUUUCUAGAGGUGCGGAUUUUACAAAAAAUCCCUACGUCCUACUAGUCAUGGAACCGGGCUGGACCAGCCUGUAAACCAUCAACAGUUUUGUUUUGUUUUCCUUGACUAAGGAUUUUUUCCCAUACUUGCCCUUCCAAUUCCCUUCUUCAUCCUGCCAAGGUGAUACUCAAACAACUGCAUAGGGUCUUAUUUAUCAGCUGUAUCAACAAACUGCAGAGGGUAGCAGCCUCUGAAUCUAUAGACAUGAGGCCAACGAUAAAUUAUAUCUCCAGAACUUUAUACUCAAGGAUCACUGAUAAUGAAUUCCUCAAAUUCAUAAAGUAUCAUGAUUAUAGUACCUUCAUAGGCAUUUACGAUUCUUUAUACAGCCUUUAUAUAAAGGAUUUUAAGACAUAUCCUUGUGUUCUUGUUGUUAAGGUUUUUUUGUUUUGUUUUGUUUUGUUUUGUUUCCAAAGAAGUUAGCUACAAUAAGCUAGUGUACACACCAUAUUUUUUUUCAGUCACCAGUAAUGCCUUUGUGCUUUCUUAUUACACUGCAUGGUACUUUAAUGAUUGAAUAAGUGUCGUCCACUAGAUAUAGCUAAAAUGUCAGCAACACUGGUAAAGGUAAGGGAAAAGAAAGAACAUGCCAUACAAAGCCAUAUGCUGCAAUGCUUUGUAAAGACACUGCUGUCAGUCAGUACCCAUCAAUGUUGCUAGUGUAAAGCAUAACGUUCAUUAUGUAUUUAAUUAAUGUGAACUGAGAUAAAGUUCAGUUAUAUAGUGCAUUAAUCCACAUGAAAUACACAGAAAUUCAUGGAAUUUGUUGUGAGAAAGGGGAGAUCAUCUUGGUUGAGAUUACACGGCAUGGCGUGGUGUCCAGGGGAUCAGAUCCAGUUAGCAUGGGUUUAUGAAAGGCAGGUCGUGCUUGACAAACCUCAUCUCCUCCUACGGCUGGGUGACCAGACUGAUAGAUACGACCAGGCUGUCGAUGUAGUCUACCUAGACUUCAGCAAAUCCUUUGACAUGGUCUCUCACAGUAUUCUCCUGGGAAAACUGCCUGCCCAUGGCCUGGACAGAUGUACCCUUAUUUGGGUAACGAACUGACUAGAGGGCUGUGCCCAACAGGUAGUAGUUAAUGAAGUUAAGUCCAGUUGCUGACCAGUCACAAGUGCUGUCCUCCAGGGGUCGGUACUGGGGCCCAUCUUGUUUAAUAUCGUUAUCGAUGAUCUAGAUGAGGGGAUUGAGUGUACCCUCAGUAAGUUUGCAGAUGACACCAAGUUGGGAGGCAGCGUCAAUCUGCCUGGAGGUAGUGAGGCCCUUCAGAGGGAUGUGGAUAGGAUGAAUUACUGGGCUGAAGUGAAUAGGAUGAGGCUCAACAUGGCCAAGUGCCAAGUCCUGUACUUUGACCACAAUAACUCCAUGCAGUGCCAUAGGCUUGCGGCUUAGUGGCUGGAUGACUGUGAAGAGGAAAGGGACCUGGAGGUGUUGGUUGAUGCUUGACUGAACAUGAGCCGACAGCGAGCCCAGGUGACCAGGAGGGCCAAUGCCAUCCUGGCCUGCAUUAGAAAUAGUGUGGCCAGCAGGAGCAGGGAAGUAAUCAUCCCCCUGUACUCAGCACUGGUGAGGCCACACCUUGAGUACUGUGUUCAGUUUUGGGCCCCUAACUACAGGAAAGACAUGGAGGCCCUGGAACAUGUCCAGAGAAGGGCAAUGAAACUGGUGAAGGGUCUGGAGCAUAGGUCUUAUGAGGAGCAGCUGAGGGAGCUGGGAUUGUUUAGGCUGGAGGAGGCUCAGAGGAGACCUCAUUGCACUCUACAACUUCCUGAAGGGAGGUUGUGAUGAGGAAGGGUUUGGCCUCUUCUCCCAGGCAACAAACAGGACCCAAGGAAAUGGCCAGAAGUUGUACCAGAGGAAGCUUAGGUUAGACAUAAGGAAAACUUUUUCUCUCAGAGAGUAGUCAGGCACUGGAAUGGCCUGCCCAAGGAGGUAGUGGAGUCGCCAUCCCUGGUAGUUUUCAAGAGGUGUCUGGAUGAGGAGCUAUGAGAUAUGGUUUAGUGGCUUGUGGUAGCAAGAGUAAUGGAAGGACGGUUGGACUAGAUGAUCUUAUAGGUCCUUUCCAAACUUGUGAUUCUAUGAUUCUAAGAUGGAGAAAUGAAUGAAUGGGAAACAGUCCUUGUGCCUAGUAACUGACAGACUAACAGAUCAAAUCACAUAUGUGUUAAGCAUCCGAGCAAAAUAUUGUGAUGUCUAAGAAAAAAUAAUUGUAAAAUAUCUACAAAUGACUCAGUUGCAAUUUUUCUUCCUGUUAUAUGGUGAUUGGAAUAUGACUGGAGACAGGGACAACAAACAUCAAGGAAUAAAUCAGAUCAGCAUUUGCUGUUGUGCAGUUUUUAGAGAAACAAGACUUAAUGUAAUUGCUUUCAAAUGCAUAUGAUGUUUAAUUAAAAAGAUCACAAUAAGUGGUACAAAAGUGCAUUUAUUAGCCUAUUUAGGUAACUUGCUUAGAAUCAUAAUAUCAUGGAAUGGCUUAGUUUGGAAGGCAUUGUAAACAUAAUCUAGUUCAAACUCUCCUACUAUGGGCAGGGUUCUGAUCCACUAGAUCAUACUGCCCACGGCCCCUUCCAACCUGGUCUUGAACACCUCUAGGGAUAGAGCAUUCUUAACUUCUCUCAGGGUAGCCUACUGCAAUGCCUCAAAACCCUCUGGAUAAAAAAAUUUCUUCCCAACAUUUAAAUCUCCCCUCUUUUAUCUUCAAACCGUUUCCCCUUGGCCCAUCACUAGAUAUCUGUGUAAGAGACGGAAUUCCCUCCUCUUUAUAAGCUCCCUUCAAGUACUAGAAGGCUGCAGUUAGGUGUCCACUGAGUCUACUCUUCCCCAAGCUAAACAAGCCCAAUUCCAUCAACCUUUCUUCCUAGGAGAGGCUCUUCAGCCCUCUGAUCAUCUUUGUGGGCCUCCUAUGAACCCUCUCCAACAGCGCUGCAUCUUUCUUGUGCUGGAGGCUCCAGAUCUGGACACAGUAUUCCAGAUGGGGCCUCACAAGGGCUGAGUAGAGGGGGACCAUCAUCCCCUCUCCCUGCUGACCACACCUCUUUUGAUGCAGCCAAGAAUAGAGUUGGCCUUUUGGAUUGCAAGAGAACACUGUCGGCUCAUGUCAAUAUUUUUGUACACCAGAACCCUCAAGUCCUUCUCCACAGGACUGUUCUCAAUCAAUUAUUUCUUCUCCCAGUUGGUACUCAUUUCUAGGUUACUCCAACAAAAUUAUGAAUCUGAUUUUAUCUUCUGUUCCUUUGUAUGCCUUUAUUAUACUUGACUGACUCUUUGAAAAUGAAUGCAUAUGAAAAGAAUAUCUAAAAGUUCAUUUUUAACUACAAGAAAUUAACAAAUUCUUUUUCCUGCCUUCAGCAUAUGCCUGUGUUUUAAUUUUUACGUAUGUAUGAAUAUAUGUGUCUAUAUUGUAUACCCAUUAAUAAAAUAGUAUCAGCAUUGCACCAAAUCCACUUUUUUUUAACAAAGAUUAUCUCAAAAAUCACCUUUUGGAUUGAAGCUUUCUGAAAAUAAUUGGCUCUUAAAUUUUGAAAUAUGAAGCAUAUUUAGACAAAUACAAUGUUUAUCAGAAAUAUUUAUGUAGGCCUAUUUCCCUCAUUUUGUAGCAGCACUGCUUUAAAAUUAUUGAUGAACUAGUCAUAGGAAUCACUCUUUUAAGUUCUCUACCUCUUACAUGGGAAAAUGUUGCUAACCUUUUUGCUAGGAGGCUGCUUGUGGAUCUUAUUUCAAAACUUUUUACCCACCUUGUUGGCAGCAGCUCAGGUCCGCUGUUUGACAGUAAUGCCAACCUCUACAUCUCCAUGUUUGAUGCAACUAUUUCCACAUUCAGUGAUGGAAGUUAGACAGUCCUACUGUAGCUUAUACAGUUGCAGAGUGCUCCAUGGAUCAUAUGAAGGUCAAGAAGAAGUUUUAUAUACACAAAUGAAUACAUAUAUAUAAGUAUAUUGAUACAGUUAUAUGUAUGUACAUGUAUUUAUAUGCAAAUAUGUGUUUAUAUGUGUAUUUGUAUAUAUAAAC